UACGUAGGGUGCAAGCGUUGUCCGGAAUUAUUGGGCGUAAAGAGCUCGUAGGCGGUCUGUCGCGUCUGGUGUGAAAUCUCAUGGCUCAACUGUGAGCUUGCAUCGGGUACGGGCAGACUAGAGUGCUGUAGGGGAGACUGGAAUUCCUGGUGUAGCGGUGGAAUGCGCAGAUAUCAGGAAGAACACCCGGUGGCGAAAGGCGGCAUCCUCGUCGG
rnacentral:rRNA from 1 species